AAGUAGAUAAAGAAAAAGGAGUUGUUGCUCCCAGUGCCCCAAUGGCCCCGAUAUCCAUUCCUUUGCCUGGGCAGACGAUGCCAGGGCAUCAGGAAUCGACAGUGACUGGCCAAGUGGGGGUCUAUCAAUCUAUGGGUGUGCAAGAUUUGACUAGUAUUGUAAAUACACUGCCACUCAUGAAAUCUAACAGUACUAAUUCUGAUUUUUGGGAUCGUUUGUGGGUAAUGGCAAGAGCCAACCACCUAGCAGUAAAAGAUCUGUAUUCAAUUUGUGAUGAUGUGUGCCCAUCUACAUACAAGGGGCAAAUUGUUAACCUCACCCCUCCCUUACAGCCACCAGCAAAUGCAGAUGAUUAUGCCACUCAGUACAGAGUGCUGCGUACUGAAGUACAGUGUAUAAUUGGAAAUGGAAUUCAGACUUUCACUAAUGUGACAAUGAUUAGGCAGGGUCCUAAUGAACCUUUUGUUGACUACACUGAACGCUUUACAAAAGCGCUGAAAGAAUUUGUGGCAGCACGAGGAGGUCCUGAUUUGGACUGUCCAAUAAUGUUUCACACUGCACAGUCAAAUAUGAAUGCUAAAUUUGCACAGUUGUUUUGUUCUUCUCUGCCAACAUUAUUGACUGGUCUUCUUUUGUUGCAUGGGGGACACGGGCUCAAGACAUCGUGGAACAACAGAAGAAUGGACUGGUUGCUGCGGUUGGCCAGCCCUCUGCCCCAGCAUUUCGCUGUUACCAUUGCCAGCAGGAUGGCCACUACGCAAACAGGAUUGAACCUUUGAAUGUUUCAGGUCCUGUACAUCCUCCAGUAUUACAGUAUCCUCUUUGGAGAGAAGCAGAGAGAGCCCCACAGGAAAUUGUGAACCAGCUUCAGGAGUCAAGAAUUGUGAUGCUGUGUUUGAUGGCCUUGGACUGUGCCGAGAGGGCGUUGAAGGUCACUGAGCCCAUAGUCGGUUACAAUCAGAUGAUCCUUCACACUCCACAUCGCUUCUUACGCCUGCUCGCAAAAAAAUCGAUUUCAAAUCAAUGGCGUGCAAAAUGUGAAACUGCCCUCAUGAACCCUCAGCUCACUGUUGUUGCAGACAACCGGACAAAUCCUGCCUCCCUAAUGGAGAAUGAGGGGAGUGCACACGACUGCGCUGAGGUAAUUAUCUGUGACAAGGGACAUUUUGUCAAAGAUGAACCGUUUUCAGAUUCCAUGGACAUGUUUGUGGAUGGCAGUAGCUUCUACGAGGGUGACACAUGCUACUCGGGCUGGGCAGUAGUAGAGGGGAAGACGGGAAAGGUCUUGGCUGCGGGGUUGCUUCGGGGAGAAAGUGCUCAGAUAGCUGAACUGCAUGCUUUAAAAGCUGCCUUAAAUCUGGCUCUUAACAUAACUGCGAGUGAAAAUAGCUCCACUAAUGUAAAUAUUUUUACUGAUAUUGCUUACAGCUAUCAUGUAGUGCAGAGUUGUGGCCCUGUUUGGAAACGUCGUGGUUAUUUGACCACAGCGGGUAUGCCAAUAAGUCAUCAAACCGUGAUUAAAGAAAUUCUUGAAACGUGUGAGAAAAUUCCACCAAAUAGUGUUGUAAAGUCACAGGUCACAGUACAUUCAAUGAUUGGUUGGCAAAAGGAAACUCUCUAGCUGAUAAGGCUGCGAGAGAAGCGGCAAAGGGUGUGGCACUUGAGGGAGUAGCUGUUAUUUUCCCUGUCAUCCUGAUUGCACAGGUUCAGAAACUUUAUCUAAAUUGUACACGACUGAGGAUCGUGAAAUGUGUCAAAAAUUAGCAGCUACCUUAACUGAGGAAGGGGUUUAUUCCGCCUAGCGGAUAUCAAACUAAACUAAUUGAUCUGUACCACAGCAUUGCACACCAAGGUUUUGGUCAGAUAUGUUACACACUGUGAAGGACAGACUGUCCAGAUGUAUCUACUGUUUGCAAACGAAGCCACAAUUUGUAAAAGGUAAAAUCCCAAUUGGUCACAGUCCUCGCCCACGAGGACCUUUCACACAUUUUCAAUUGGAUUUUAUUUUGUUACCUUCUGAUCAUGGGUAGAAAUAUGUAUUAGUUCUUGUUUGUAAAUUUUCCAGGUGGGUUGAGGCUUUUGCUCUGCGUACAGCCACAGCAGAAAAAGUUGCUGAAGUGCUUCUACAAGACAUUUUUCCUAGAUGGGGAAUUUGCGAGUCACUGGAUAGUGAUCAAUGGACUCAUUUUACUGAUAUGAGUGUAUGCUGUCGCAGGACUAUUCUGAGUAUAUUUACCACACACGACUGGUUCUAAAGGUGACCCCUUGGUAUGACUUCUGGAACAGUGUGGCCCAUUUGACGAUCCAGAACGAUCCAGGAGUGGUUGCUGUGUUCGUGGCUGGGUCUGUGCCUACCCCACUAUUGCCUGACGGGGAACAAGGCACAUCGUCUGCAACUAUAGGAAUCUGUUACUUCAGACAUCGAUGUUUCGUUCCUGGAACUGGACACAUCAUCAUCACAUCACGCGUUAAUUCUGCAUCACCUGAGAGACCUGUGAUCAAAUCUACCAACUGAUACAGGUUUUGUGACAAUUUCCCAUAGUGUUGUUGUGACUCUGAAGGUUACGCUUAUAGAUACUCUUUUUUGUGUCUGUUCCCAAUUAAUUAAGAAAAUGAGUUAUUC
ensembl:lncRNA